GGCGCGUGUUUUUGAGUGGCAUAAAUUAUUUUCCGAAGGUCGAGAGUGCACCGGAAUCCAAUUCAGUCGUAAUCCAAAUUCAAAACCAUGCUGAUCGUUUUCUUCGAUAUCAACGGCAUCGUGAUGACUGAAUGGGUUCCAGAGGGUCAAACUGUGAACCAACAUUACUAUUUGACAGUUUUGGCAACAUUGCGCGAAUGAGUUCGUAAGAAACGGUCGAUAUUGUGGAAAAACAAGUCGUGGAUCUUGCACUAGGAUAAC
rnacentral:lncRNA from 1 species